AUAAUUCAGUCUCUAGGGUUCGACUUGGAUUUACCACUUGCUGCAAAAAAUAUUUCAUUAUUGGUAAUUUUAGUUAAUUUAAUUUCUGGUGGAUUCGACACCCAUCAAGAAUUUUGGCGCCAUUGUCAGGGACUGAAGUUUAUUUGAUUUCAUGUUUUUGGUGUUAGAUAUUUUGUUAUUAAUUUUGUUUGUGAGUUGUUGCUAUUUUCAGGUUUUUUGAAAAGAAAAAAAAAAUUACGGUGUUACUGUUCAUUGUUACUGUUCAUUAAGGAUUUUGGUUGAAUUUGGAGGGCGGCCCAUACCUAUUUUGAAGGAAACGACGCUCUGAUCAAGACCAAUCAAUCCAUAAAAUUCCUUGGCCCCACCCUCUUGAGGCCAAAUUCCAUUGUUUUCUAGGGUUUUGAGGCAUUUUUUUUGUUUUUACUUUGAUUUCUCUUUGUUUAUGACAAGAAUUUCUCAAUCUGGUGAGUUGAUCUUUAAUCCAGAAGUAGAAAAAACAGCUAAACGGUUGAGAAAAUUGGCUAAGCAAGCUAGGCAGAUUCCAAGUACAUCUGAAGGAGUCCAAUCUUCAAAGGAGCUGAGUUCGGAUUCGUAUUCAGAGUCAAGUUUCGAAAACGAGACCAUGGCUGCUGCUGGGACUUUGAAAGAGUUGGCUGCUCCUGAUCUAAUCCAACAGCCUUUGUGUAUCCAAUACCCUGCUUUAAAUGUUGCUUUUGAAUUGAAAUCUGGACUAAUCCAUUUGUUGCCUAAGUUUUAUAGUGUUGUAGGUGAGGAUCCACAUAAGCAUCUAAAGGAAUUUCAUGUUGUGUGUUUCAGCAUGAAACCUCAAGGAGUUUCAGAGGAUCAAAUCAAGCUUCUAGCUUUCCCUUUCUCACUGGAGGGCAUAGCUAAGGAUUGGUUGUAUUACCUUCCUUCUGGAUCUGUCAACUCAUGGAAUAGAAUGAAGCAAAUAUUUCUAGAGAAGCAUUUUUCUGCUUCCCGAGCUGCUAACAUGAGAAAAGAAAUUUAUGACAUUCGGCAAUACAAUGGAGAGAGCUUGUAUGAGUAUUGGAAACGAUUUAAGAAACUGUGUGCAAGCUGUCCCCAUCAUCAAAUAAGUGAGCAGCUUUUGAUUCAGUAUUUCUAUGAGGGACUUCUACCAAUGGACCGCAGUAUGACAGAUGCUGCUAGUGAAGGAGCUUUGGUUGACAAGACACCAGAAGAGACAAGGAGGCUGAUUGCUAACAUAGCAGCAAAUUCUCAACAGUUUGGAAUGAGAAUGGAUCACACACCUAUGAAAGUUAAUGAGGUAAGUACAUCUAACCUUGAGAAACAAAUUUCUGAUUUAACUUCUUUGGUGAGGCAGUUGGUUGUAGGGAAUAUGCAACCUGUUAAGGCAUGUGAAAUUUGUUCGGGUUCGGGUCAUGCUACUGAUAUGUGUCAUGCGUUACAAGAGGAUGAAUCAAUGCAACAUGCUAAUGCAGUAGGACAUUAUGGACAGCCACAACGCAGGUAUGAUCCCUAUUCGAAUACUUAUAAUCCAGGAUGGUGAAAUCCUCCUAAUCUGAGUUAUGGGAAUCAAUCGGUAUAAAACCGAUACCAUCAGUAGAGAUCACAAGUGAAUCAACCACCUCCACCUCCGCCUCCCUCAAAUCAAGGUAUGUCACUUAAUGAAAUUGUUAAGGCUUUAGCUGACAAUACCCAACAGUUUCAACAGAAGACCAGAAAUAGCAUUCAAAACAUAGAGAGACAGAUUGGUCAGUUAGCUUCCUCUGUAAGCAAGCUUGAAGCUCAAGGUUCUGGAAAACUUCCAUCACAAACAGUCAUGAACCCAGAGAAAAUGCGAGUGCGAUACUGUUGCGGAGUGGAAAAGAAGUUGAUAAUCAAACUCCACAUGAGUCAACAAAAAAGAAGCAAAGAGUAAAAGAGUCUGAAAUUGAGGUAAAUACUGAACCUAAAC
rnacentral:misc_RNA from 1 species